GCCCAGAAAUGGGACAUCCGCUAAAAUUGGAUCGAUACAGAGAAGAUUAGCAUGGUCCCUGCGCAAGGAUGACACGCAUUAAUCGAGAAAGUAUCACCUUUUUU